GCAAAAGGAAUCCGAAGCCUUUGGAGCACAGCGCGAGUUCUCGCUGCGCUCCAAAGGCUUCGGGUUCCUUUUGC